UCCCUGGAGGACUAGUGGUUUGGCCACAGUGCUCUCACCACUGUGGCCUGCGUUCAAUUCCCACCAGGGAA